UACGGAGGAUCCGAGCGUUAUCCGGAUUUAUUGGGUUUAAAGGGUGCGCAGGCGGGAGAUUAAGUCGGCGGUGAAAUUUUGCAGCUCAACUGUAAAAGUGCCUUCGAAACUGGUUUCCUUGAGUGUGGAUGAAGUAGGCGGAAUUUGUGGUGUAGCGGUGAAAUGCAUAGAUAUCACGAGGAACUCCGAUUGCGCAGGCAGCUUACUAAACCAUAACUGACGCUCAGGCACGAAGGCGUGGGGAUCAAACAGGAUUAGAUACCCCGGUAGU
rnacentral:rRNA from 1 species